UACGUAGGGACCGAGCGUUGUCCGGAAUCAUUGGGCGUAAAGAGCGUGUAGGCGGCCUUUUAAGUCCUGCGUGAAAUCCUGCGGCUCAACCGCAGACGGUCGUGGGAAACUGGAAGGCUAGAGUGCGGGAGAGGAGAGUGGAAUUCCCGGUGUAGCGGUGAAAUGCGCAGAUAUCUGGAGGAACACCGGUGGCGAAGGCGGCAUCCUGGACCAAUUCUGACACUGAGGAGCGAAAGCCAGGGGAGCAAACGGG
rnacentral:rRNA from 1 species